AAUAUACAUAUAAAAAUAAUAAU
rnacentral:sRNA from 1 species